GUGCCAGCAGCCGCGGUAAUACGUAGGGUGCGAGCGUUGUCCGGAAUUACUGGGCGUAAAGAGCUCGUAGGUGGUUUGUCGCGUUGUUCGUGAAAACUCACAGCUUAACUGUGGGCGUGCGGGCGAUACGGGCAGACUAGAGUACUGCAGGGGAGACUGGAAUUCCUGGUGUAGCGGUGGAAUGCGCAGAUAUCAGGAGGAACACCGGUGGCGAAGGCGGGUCUCUGGGCAGUAACUGACGCUGAGGAGCGAAAGCGUGGGGAGCGAACAGGAUUAGAUACCCUGGUAGUCCACGCCGUAAACGGUGGGUACUAGGUGUGGGUUCCUUCCUUGGGAUCCGUGCCGUAGCUAACGCAUUAAGUACCCCGCCUGGGGAGUACGGCCGCAAGGCUAAAACUCAAAGGAAUUGACGGGGGCCCGCACAAGCGGCGGAGCAUGUGGAUUAAUUCGAUGCAACGCGAAGAACCUUACCUGGGUUGACAUGCACAGGACGCCGGCAGAGAUGUC
rnacentral:rRNA from 1 species